rnacentral:tRNA from 1 species
AAAGGGAGACCUAAUUCAGGUAUAAGACGAAAAAAAAGUAGUCCCUACCAAGAAUCAAUCCCAAAAGGUCGGAACGAGGUAUGAGGCUUUCAAACUAGGUUCUGGGUUCAUAAAAGACCUGAAUCAGGAACAAGGGCUAUUAGCUCAGGUGGUUAGAGCGCACCCCUGAUAAGGGUGAGGUCCCUGGUUCGAGUCCAGGAUGGCCCACCUGCACAGGUGGCAAAAACAAGAGAAGCGAGGAAUCAGCACCUUAUCUUAUAUACAUAUAUAAGAGAGAAUGCUGGCUCUGAGUACAGAGUCCAGGGGAGCCUUGAAAACUGCAUAGAGCUAGGUGAAAAAGCCAAAAAAGAAGACCGCAAG